CCCAGACUCCUACGGGAGGCAGCAGUGAGGAAUAUUGGUCAAUGGACGCAAGUCUGAACCAGCCAAGUCGCGUGCAGGAUGACGGCCCUCCGGGUUGUAAACUGCUUUUAGUUGGGAAUAAAAGGGGGCUCGUGAGCCCCGUAUUGUAUGUACCAUCAGAAAAAGGACCGGCUAAUUCCGUGCCAGCAGCCGCGGUAAUACGGAAGGUCCGGGCGUUAUCCGGAUUUAUUGGGUUUAAAGGGUGCGCAGGCGGGCUGUUAAGCCGGCGGUAAAAAUUCAGGGCUCAACCCUGUCGAGCCGUCGGAACUGGCAGCCUUGAGUGGGCGAGAAGUAUGCGGAAUGCGUGGUGUAGCGGUGAAAUGCAUAGAUAUCACGCAGAACGCCGAUUGCGAAGGCAGCAUACCGGCGCGCAACUGACGCUCAUGCACGAAAGCGUGGGUAUCGAACAGGAUUAGAUACCCCCGUA
rnacentral:rRNA from 1 species